UGGGGAAUAUUGCACAAUGGGCGCAAGCCUGAUGCAGCGACGCCGCGUGAGGGAUGACGGCCUUCGGGUUGUAAACCUCUUUCGCCUACGACGAAGCGACAGUGACGGUAGUAGGAGAAGAAGGACCGGCCAACUACGUGCCAGCAGCCGCGGUAAUACGUAGGGUCCGAGCGUUGUCCGGAAUUACUGGGCGUAAAGAGCUCGUAGGUGGUUUGUCGCGUUGUUCGUGAAAACUCACAGCUUAACUGUGGGCGUGCGGGCGAUACGGGCAGACUGGAGUACUGCAGGGGAGACUGGAAUUCCUGGUGUAGCGGUGGAAUGCGCAGAUAUCAGGAGGAACACCGGUGGCGAAGGCGGGUCUCUGGGCAGUAACUGACGCUGAGGAGCGAAAGCGUGGGGAGCGAACAGGAUUAGAUACCCCCGUAGUCC
rnacentral:rRNA from 1 species